rnacentral:rRNA from 1 species
UACGUAGGGUGCAAGCGUUAAUCGGAAUUACUGGGCGUAAAGCGUGCGCAGGCGGUCAUGCAAGACAGAUGUGAAAUCCCCGGGCUCAACCUGGGAACUGCAUUUGUGACUGCAUGGCUGGAGUGCGGCAGAGGGGGAUGGAAUUCCGCGUGUAGCAGUGAAACGCGUAGAUAUGCGGAGGAACACCGAUGGCGAAGGCAAUCCCCUGGGCCUGCACUGACGCUCAUGCACGAAAGCGUGGGGAGCAAACAGG